rnacentral:rRNA from 1 species
AACGAACGCUGGCGGCAUGCCUAACACAUGCAAGUCGAACGAGACCUUCGGGUCUAGUGGCGCACGGGUGCGUAAAGCGUGGGAACCUGCCCUUAGGUUCGGAAUAACUCCCCGAAAGGGGUGCUAAUACCGGAUAAUGUCUUCGGACCAAAGAUUUAUCGCCUUUGGAUGGGCCUGCGUUGGAUUAGCUAGUUGGUAGGGUAAAAGCCUACCAAGGCGACGAUCCAUAGCUGGUCUGAGAGGAUGAUCAGCCACACUGGGACUGAGACACGGCCCAGACUCCUACGCGAGGCAGCAGUGGGGAAUAUUGGACAAUGGGCGAAAGCCUGAUCCAGCAAUGCCGCGUGAGUGAUGAAGGCCGUAGGGUUGUAAAGCGCUUUUACCCGGGAUGAUAAUGACAGUACCGGGAGAAUAAGCUCCGGCUAACUCCGUG